ACGAACGCUGGCGGCGUGCUUCACACAUGCAAGUCGAACGCUGAACCCGCUUCGGUGGGGGAUGAGUGGCGAACGGGUGAGUAGCACGUGGGCAACCUGCCCCCGGCUCUGGGAUAACUCCAAGAAAUUGGGGCUAAUACCGGAUGUGACCGCUGGCCGCAUGGUCUGGUGGUGGAAAGGGUUUCCGGCUGGGGAUGGGCCCGCGGCCUAUCAGCUUGUUGGUGGGGUAGUGGCCUACCAAGGCGACGACGGGUAGCCGGCCUGAGAGGGUGACCGGCCACACUGGGACUGAGACACGGCCCAGACUCCUACGGGAGGCAGCAGUGGGGAAUAUUGCGCAAUGGGCGGAAGCCUGACGCAGCGACGCCGCGUGGGGGAUGACGGCCUUCGGGUUGUAAACCUCUUUCAGCAGGGACGAAGCGCAAGUGACGGUACCUGCAGAAGAAGCACCGGCCAACUACGUG
rnacentral:rRNA from 1 species